rnacentral:rRNA from 1 species
AUUGAACGCUGGCGGCAUGCCUUACACAUGCAAGUCGAACGGUAACAGGUCUUCGGAUGCUGACGAGUGGCGAACGGGUGAGUAAUACAUCGGAACGUGCCCGAUCGUGGGGGAUAACGAGGCGAAAGCUUUGCUAAUACCGCAUACGAUCUACGGAUGAAAGCGGGGGAUCUUCGGACCUCGCGCGGACGGAGCGGCCGAUGGCAGAUUAGGUAGUUGGUGGGAUAAAAGCUUACCAAGCCGACGAUCUGUAGCUGGUCUGAGAGGAGGAUCAGCCACACUGGGACUGAGACACGGCCCAGACUCCUACGGGAGGCAGCAGUGGGGAAUUUUGGACAAUAGGCGAAAGCCUGAUCCAGCCAUGCCGCGUGCAGGAUGAAGGCCUUCGGGUUGUAAACUGCUUUUGUACGGAACGAAAAGCCUCUUUCUAAUAAAGAGGGGUCAUGACGGUACCGUAAGAAUAAGCACCGGCUAACUACGUG